rnacentral:misc_RNA from 1 species
UUGUGGAGGAGGACGCCGAAGGUGGGGCUAAUGACUGGGGUGAAGUCGUAACAAGGUAGCCGUACCGGAAGGUGCGGCUGGAUCACCUCCUAACAGGGAGACAACAAAAUGUUAAAUAUUAAUUUUGUCACCUUAGGUCGAUCGGUAUCUCACAUCCUUAAAUUUAUUAAGGAUUUUAUUUCCUAAGUUUUUUCUAGGUCACACCCAUUACUUUUCCUGGGCCAUUAGCUCAGGUGGUUAGAGCGCACCCCUGAUAAGGGUGAGGUCCCUGGUUCAAGUCCAGGAUGGCCCAUAUCUCUAUGUUGGGGGUAUAGCUCAGUUGGUAGAGCGCCUGCUUUGCAAGCAGGAUGUCAGCGGUUCGAGUCCGCUUACCUCCACUGAUUACCACCUCUUCCAUAACCGGUAGAAAGGAAAUGUUUUGAGUUGUGAUCAUUAUUCUGAACGAAUCUAGCUUCCUGAUGAAAUCAUUAAGAUGCUGGACUCAUUGAAUUAAUUUCAUUGUUUUCAGAGAACCUUGACAACUGCAUAGAUUAUUUUUAAAGACAAUAAGCAUCUUUAAUGAUGCAGAUUUAUUAUUUGUGCGAAUGCAUUAAUAACAAUUCUAUUAAGCUGAUGCUUCAAUUUUUGAAGUUAUUGGUCAAGCUACAA